rnacentral:rRNA from 1 species
UGGGGAAUUUUGGACAAUGGGGGCAACCCUGAUCCAGCCAUUCCGCGUGAGUGAAGAAGGCCUUCGGGUUGUAAAGCUCUUUCSCAAGGGAAGAAAACUUAUGAUCGAAUAAAUCAUGAGGUUGACGGUACCUUGAUAAGAAGCACCGGCUAACUACGUGCCAGCAGCCGCGGUAAUACGUAGGGUGCGAGCGUUAAUCGGAAUUACUGGGCGUAAAGCGUGCGCAGGCGGUUUUGUAAGUCGGAUGUGAAAUCCCCGGGCUCAACCUGGGAACUGCGUUCGAAACUGCAAGGCUAGAGUGUGUCAGAGGGGGGUAGAAUUCCACGUGUAGCAGUGAAAUGCGUAGAGAUGUGGAGGAAUACCAAUGGCGAAGGCAGCCCCCUGGAUAACACUGACGCUCAUGCACGAAAGCGUGGGGAGCAAACAGGAUUAGAUACCCUGGUAGUCCACGCCCUAAACGAUGUCAACUAGUUGUUGGUAGAGUAAAAUCUAUGAGUAACGUAGCUAACGCGUGAAGUUGACCGCCUGGGGAGUACGGUCGCAAGAUUA